ACCAUGGUGACUUAUAAACAACUCACUGUGCUUUGGUGUUGGACAAUCUAAAAUUUUAAUUCAAGAUCGAAAGAUUUUUGGACAUAGUCAUGUACUUAUGAAAUCGAUGCGUGAGUCAAGGUGGAAUUGAUCCCUCCAAGAGAUUGGAGAGAAUACUUUAUGUUUCAAUUUAGUAAGACCUUGGCCAGGACAAUCUUUGUAAGGAGUUAUAGGAUU
rnacentral:lncRNA from 1 species